UGGGGAAUUUUGCGCAAUGGGCGAAAGCCUGACGCAGCAACGCCGCGUGCGGGACGAAGGCCUUCGGGUCGUAAACCGCUUUCAGCAGGGAUGAAAAUGACAGUACCUGCAGAAGAAGCUCCGGCUAACUACGUGCCAGCAGCCGCGGUAAUACGUAGGGAGCAAGCGUUAUCCGGAUUUAUUGGGCGUAAAGCGCGCGUAGGCGGUCUGUUAAGCGAGGUGUGAAAGCCGGGGGCUCAACCCGCGGAUUGCAUUUCGAACUGGCAGACUUGAGUGUGGUAGAGGAAAGUGGAAUUCCCGGUGUAGCGGUGAAAUGCGCAGAUAUCGGGAGGAACACCAGUGGCGAAGGCGGCUUUCUGGGCCACCACUGACGCUGAGGCGCGAAAGCUAGGGGAGCGAACAGG
rnacentral:rRNA from 1 species